UACGUAGGGUGCGAGCGUUGUUCGGAAUCAUUGGGCGUAAAGGGCGUGUAGGCGGUUUGUUAAGUCAUGUGUGAAAUCCCUCGGCUCAACCGGGGAACGACGCUUGAAACUGGCAAGCUAGAGUACCAAAGAGGGCGGUGGAAUUCCCGGUGUAGCGGUGAAAUGCGUAGAUAUCGAGAGGAACACCUGCGGCGAAGGCGGGUUGCUGGGCGUGAUGACUGACGCUGAGGCGCGAAAGCCAGGGGAGCG
rnacentral:rRNA from 1 species